rnacentral:rRNA from 1 species
GAUGAACGCUGGCGGCGUGCCUAAUACAUGCAAGUCGAGCGAACGGACGAGAAGCUUGCUUCUCUGAUGUUAGCGGCGGACGGGUGAGUAACACGUGGAUAACCUACCUAUAAGACUGGGAUAACUUCGGGAAACCGGAGCUAAUACCGGAUAAUAUUUUGAACCGCAUGGUUCAAAAGUGAAAGACGGUCUUGCUGUCACUUAUAGAUGGAUCCGCGCUGCAUUAGCUAGUUGGUAAGGUAACGGCUUACCAAGGCAACGAUGCAUAGCCGACCUGAGAGGGUGGUCGGCCACACUGGAACUGAGACACGGUCCAGACUCCUACGGGAGGCAACAGUAGGGAAUCUUCCGCAAUGGGCGAAAGCCUGACGGAGCAACGCCGCGUGAGUGAUGAAGGUCUUCGGAUCGUAAAACUCUGUUAUUAGGGAAGAACAUAUGUGUAAGUAACUGUGCACAUCUUGACGGUACCUAAUCAGAAAGCCACGGCUAACUACGUG